rnacentral:rRNA from 1 species
UACGUAGGGUGCGAGCGUUGUCCGGAAUUAUUGGGCGUAAAGAGCUCGUAGGCGGUCUGUCGCGUCGAUCGUGAAAACUUGGGGCUUAACCCUGAGCUUGCGGUGGGUACGGGCAGACUAGAGUGUGGUAGGGGAGACUGGAAUUCCUGGUGUAGCGGUGAAAUGCGCAGAUAUCAGGAGGAACACCGAUGGCGAAGGCAGGUCUCUGGGCCACUACUGACGCUGAGAAGCGAAAGCGUGGGGAGCGAACAGG